UACGUAGGUGGCAAGCGUUGUCCGGAUUUACUGGGCGUAAAGAGCGCGCAGGCGGUCGUUCAAGUCGCGUGUGAAAGCCCCCGGCUCAACUGGGGAGGGUCACGCGAUACUGAUCGACUCGAAGGCAGGAGAGGGUAGUGGAAUUCCCGGUGUAGUGGUGAAAUGCGUAGAUAUCGGGAGGAACACCAGUGGCGAAGGCGGCUUCCUGGACCGAUUACUGACGCUGAGGCGCGAAAGCUAGGGGAGCAAACGGG
rnacentral:rRNA from 1 species